AUGCCUUAACCUUCCUGAGUCUUAGUUUCCUUGUCCAUGCCUUGGGGGCAGCGACAUGCUCUCACAGAGUCGUAAAGGCUAAGUGAGAUAAUGGAUGCUAGAUGACUGAUUUGGGGGAGUUAGUAGGUGCUGCAGAAAUGGAACUCAUUCAUCCAUGAAGAGCGAGCAUCUUCUAUCAUGAGAAAUUCCAUAUGAUUCUUAUCUUUUUACUCAGGUUAUGAAGUCAAUACCAGGCUGGGAGUGAUGGCACAUGCUUUUAAGCCCAGCUACUCAGGAGGCUGAGGCAGAAGGAUCCCAAGUCUAAGGCCAGCCUGGGCAAUUUAGGCAAGAUCCUGUCUUAAAGAGAGAAAGAGAAGGAGAAGAAAAGAGAGAAGGAGAAAGGAGAAAGGAAAAAAAAAAAAAAAAGAGAAGUCAACAUCAGAUAUCCAGACAUUUGAGAAGCCAGCUGUUCACCGGUUAGAUUCCCCGCUCCCUUCUCCCACCCGGUCCCAUCAUCCCGGAACAGAGACACCAGCUUUAAAUCGCAACCAAGAUCUCCAUUUUGUAAUCAUCACAUCAACAAUCGAUUCAGUCAAGAAUCAUCAAAAGAUGCGAAGGUUUAAUGCAGACAGGGUAUUCACAGCUUACAGAAUCUUCCACCCGACUAUUAAUUACAAAGGGGAACCUGAUAGACUCCUCCUUAACCAAGUGACCCCAGUCAUGAUCACCAACCCAGACACAAAGAGGCAGCAGUGGCUCCUGCUGGGACCCGCUGAGAACCCAGCAUCUCUGCGGUGGGAGCCCUGCUAGCCGGUGCCUAACCUGAAUCAAGCCCUGAGCAACCCAAGCCGGGAACCUUCAGCAGUGCAGCUGACCUGUGCUCCUGAGUAACGCCAGCAUCACAAAAGACAAGGAAAGGCCGAGGGACUGUUCUAAGCUAAAAGCUACAGAGACGGAUUGUGAAACCUGGAAUGGAUCCUGGACCAGAGAAAAACAUCUUUAUUAAGAGCACACUUGGAAGAACCUAAUGCACUGUAAUAUGGCCGGGUAUUAAAUAAGAGUAUAGUAUCUGGUUUUCCCGAUUACGGAAAAUAACCCAUGAUCUUGAGACAUUCACACUGACAUGUGUAAGGGCAAAGCAAUACAAUGCCUGCAACUUAUGCUCAAAGGGUCCCCAAAAAAGAAAAUAAGUACAAAUAUGUAAAAAAAAAAAAAAAAAAAGCAAGAAAAAAAAGAAAAGGUUAGAACAAAUACAGCAAAACGUUGACAUUUCAGACAGCCAAGGGAAGGGUACACUAAGGCUUUGAGCCAGUCCCACAGUUUUUUCGUAAAUUAAAACUAUGUCAAAAUUUCAAAAGUAAAAAAGAAAAAAAUUAGAGCUGGGGUACCUGUGGAAGCCUCCUCCUGUUGCCUGUCCCUGCAGUGCGGGGGAGCAAGGCUCUGACGGAUCCUGGGUUCAAACCCUAGUUUCCACGUGUAAGCUGCACCCUGAGGCUUCGUCCCCGCACUGCAGUCCAGAUAAUGAUAGACUGGCUCUGUCUUAAGAUCUUUAAAAGACGGCCUCAUGCACAGCAGACAAGCAUGCACUCUCUGAGCUGUACCUUCAGCCCUUUUUAUUUUUAAAUUUUGAAACAGGGUCUCACGAAGCUUCCAAUCUGUGAUCCUCCUGCCUCAGCCUUCUACAUAGCUAGGGUUACAAGUGUGUGCAGUGACACUCAGGGUACUACAUGCUUUUCCAUGAACACAUGACAUUAACAAUGUGUAAUAUUCAAAACUGCAGUGUAUGCUCUUGUGAAAUUUAGGCCUUUAGUCGCUUAGUAUGAGGUACUUGAAUUAAUGGAUUAUUCAGCUAUUUGGCCUUCCCUUUUCAAUUGAUUAUAGAGUGGAAAAGAAAGAUAAAUCUGUUUUUUCAUUUCCAAAAACAGAUUUUUUUUGCAUUGAGAAAGGGAAAAAAAAAUACCACUAUCUAUAUUCUUGUAGUGGGAGCUGUGGCUGCCAAAUAUGGGAAUUAAAAACAAAAAGUCUCUGAAAUUUUUACUUGACCUAUUAAGUUUUUGGUUUUUUUUUUUUUUUUUCCUUUUUAUCGGUACCAGGGAUCGAACUCACGACCACCUGCUUGCAAGGCAGGUGCUUAUGCCGCUGAGCUCAAUCCCCAGCCCCAACCUAUUAAGUUUUAAAAAUAGGUUGUUUUUUUGUUUGUUUGUUUCCUUUUUUAUUUUCUUUUAUAAGCACCGGGGAUCGAACUCACAACUGUGCACUUGCAAGGCAGGUGCUUAUGCUGCUGAGCUAAAUCCCCAGUCCCUAAAAAUAGUUUUUUAAAAAAGUGUUUUGUUCUCGUUCAUGGGCUUAAAGAAGGUGCAAAAAGUUUUGCUGUUAAAAAAAUUGUUAAAAGAAUUAAACAAGGUAGUCUAAGUAAAAAAAUGACAUCUGCCAAACAAUUGUUCACAUAUUCUAGAUGUAUAUGCUGCUGAGACUCCAGAAGGGAAAAACACAGAGAUCUUGCCUUUGGGUAGCUUAUACUCAUCAGAAAGAUGGAAAAUAAAUGACUUCAUAAAUAGAUGUUUACUUACAAACAGCUGUACAACCUUGGAGAGAGGUGGAAAGUGGCAGGAGGGACGGGCUCCCACCAGUAGGGUGGUCAGAGGAUGCCGUUAAGGACAGGAAGGGAGAGAUCAGCAGAGUAGGAGGAACAGCAGAGGCAGAGGCCCUGGGAUGGGCAAGAGCUGGGUGAUUCCAAGACACUGCCAUCUUCUCUUCUCUGCUAGACCCCCGGCCACUCCCUGUGCCACCCCAAGGGGACAGAGCCCAGCGCAGAUGUCCAUUCGGUAGCAAGUGAACGGUGGAGCUCUGGCCCCAGUUUGCUCCCGGCCUUGUUAGCUCUUAUCCUCACAAGGUCGCACCAAGGAAGCUUCUGCUCUGGCAGCUCUGCAAUUCUCCCCUCUACAUAACUGGCUUUAGAGGACCCACGGGGAAGGGACCCUGGAGACCGCGCCCCACCCCAUUAGAGCUGAGGGAGCCCAGGCCUUGUGGAAUGCAACUGAGUGCCCCCCACCCCCAUGUCCAUUUUGUUUAUUUGUUCAGCGGGUUUGUUUCAGUCCUGGCACAGCCUGUUCUGACUCUGGAACAUUUAUGAGAUGAGCCAAUUUUUAAAAAUCAUAGAAAAUAAAUGGUUUACUUUUAGAGCAAAGGGGUGGGGUAGCCAGGGUGGGAGACAGGCUUCAGGCCAGCCCUAGGGCAGAAUUUUGGCUUAGGUUUUGCUAUACCCCCAGCCCUGGGAACAAAAGGACUAUCAGUGGGAUUUCCUGCAUCCAUUCUUCCAGUCUGCGAUGGGGAAAGAUUGGAGUAUUUGGCUGUAAGAUUUCCUGUUCUCAUCUCCACCCGCAGCAGCUCCACUCCGGACCCUGGCUUCUAACUUGCUGAGCUCGAGCCACGGCUGGGCCCAGUGAGUGGGCUUGGGAUGGAGGUGUCGGGGCAGCUGGAUCGGUCUGCCCCAUCUGCCUGUGCAGCCUCUGUAAAUACUCUUCAAGAGUCGGUUGUUAUGCCAACCUUGAACUGACUCUGUGCUCCACCAGUUACUUUUUAAAUUUUAAAUUUAAAAAAAUGUCCACUUAGGAUUAACAGGGCAGCUCAAAUGCUGUAUUUCUUGGCUUUUUUCUGACUGGAUAUUAAUACAGAAUAAUAUUUUAUUUUGUGUUGAUCUGAACCAUUUCUUUGCAGCUUGGUAAAUAUGUGGUUACUAAAAACCUGAAAAUGCAAACAAAUCCAAUUUUAUUUACCCAAUAAAAUCAUUUAUUUAAACUUUAAAUCCAGGGUGCUAGAGGGGAUGGGGUAAAAGAGUUCCUGACAGUAAAAGGUCCUCGGUGAGGGUUCAUUAAUACAUGGAUCCAUGAGGGCGAUGGCACCUGUGACCCGCUGUGGUCCCCUGUUGGCUGUCCCAGGAGGACCAGGGGGAGGACCAGUCAGAAGUUACCUAUCUGCAGGCACUUUCUCCCUAAGGGGAGCAACAGGCCCAUCCCUAACCCCAGUCAGGCAGCACUAAGACUGGUGAGCACAUGGGGCUAGGGCUGUGUGUCCCAGAGCCCCUCCAAGGAACAUGGACGACAGCCUGGACUCCAACGCCAGCACCCACCCCAGCGCCCACUGCCCUGUGCUCAAGGCCAUUGUCCAAGAAGCAGAGGCAGGCCAGCUGUGGGAGGUGCUGCUCUUCACUUCCAAGAUUAGCUCAGACCUCAGACACACAGGCCAGCACCUGCCCUUCGUGCCAAGGGAAACAGUGGAUGUCAGAAGCCUCCGUAGGUAUCUGGAAGAGAACAGUGCCUGUGCUCCUCCCUUCCUUGUAUGAGGUCAUUGAAUCAGGAUGACAAAGCAAACAGUGACAUGUGCUGGGACUUGUUCCCAGACUGAAUCCAGGGUUUCUCCAGCCCUUCCCGCCUCCCCACCCAGAGUGGCAGACCCAGGUGUGGACAAUGAGCUAAAACGGACUUGGUUCUGGGGCCCCUGGGAAAUGAAGGGGAGCUGGGAGAUGAUGUCUGCGGUGGAAGAGAGGCGGCCCUGGCUCUGGGACAUUCGCAUUGCCAGACAUUAACAUGGUGCAUUCCAGACUUAACAAGCUUGCACACAUGCCAAUUGGAGUUAAGGAGGGUGGGAAUUCCUCAUCACCGACUUCACCGACGAGGAAACAGGCUCAUUUCAGGUCAUCAGCCUCAUCAAGGUUACAUGGCUUAUGCAUGACAAAACUAGACUUUGACUGGUGGUUCAAGCUUGUAAUUCAGACUUUGACUGGUGGUUCAAGCCUGUAAUUCCGCGACUCAGAAGGUUCGGGAACAAGGAACGCAAGUUUGAAGCCAGCGUGGGCAACAGGGCAAGACCCUCAAAAAAAAAACAAAACCUGGGGAUGUAGCUCACUGGCAGAACACUUGCCUCACACUCAAGGCUCUGGGUUCUCCCAUAGUGCAUGCAUGCACACGUGCGCGCGCACACACACACACACAAUGUGACUGGCAGUUUUGUUCUAUCUUCCUCCCUCACCAGAGUUUCGUGAACUUACUGUGGAUACACCUGCUUCACGCUUCUCGCCUGGUUGCACAGUAUUCCCACACUAGUGUUUACUUUUCUCUUGCAGUCAUUGUAAGAGUUGGCCUCAUUCUAAGCAACACUGUGUGAAUAAUAUGAAACAUUUUAAAUAUACAUUUAACAUAUCCCAUCCCCCUUUUCAUUACUAGGCUAGCGGCCAAAGGGAUGGCCUGUGGAAAUGCUCAGUAUUGUGUACAUGUCUGCUCAGCCGGUGUUACAGUUCUCUACAGUGAAUGUAAUCAUUGUGCAUUACAGCCACAUGCUAGUAAAAGUCAAAAAAGAAAAAUCCUCAACUAACGGCCUCUACUAUGUGUGUUAGGGCUGUGCCCAGCUACAAUCACAGUGAUCAAAUCAUGGAGGAUAAGAAGCAAACCACGGACUCUUAAUGUCUAAGGGACAGACCUUACAUAGCAUAUCCAGUCAUGGCUCUAAAGAUUAAGGGACACCAUUCAAAAAUCUGAAGAUGAAAGCCAGGUGUGGUGGUGCAUAUCUAUAAUCCCAGCACUUGGGAGGCUGAGGCAGGAGGGUCACUGCAAGUUCAAGGCCAGCCUUGACUAUGUAGUGAGACUCUGUCUCAAAAAACAAAACCAAAACCAAACAAAAAAUCUGAAGAUGAAUCAGCAGGCCUUGCUCCUAAAAACCCCAGUGUACAGAGCUGUGUGUGUAGUGUGAGGCCCCAGCUACCAUCUGAUCUGCGGUACUACAAAACAAGCAAACAAAAACAUCACAGACAUAAACAACUGAAAACCAGAAGGAAUAAGCGGAUACCCUGGACUCAGAGAAACUCUGAUCUAGCUUUGGUUCCGUCACAAGCUCAAUGUGUCUUUGAGGAAGUCACUUCAACUUUCCAGGCUGUUUUCUUCGGUAGAGAGGAUGAUAUUUCCAUCUUCUGCUUUUCAAGACUGACUGGUAGGAGACUCAUUCAAAAGGGGCAGCUGGGUGAAAAGCCUUCAAACUGCCAUGUAAACAGCCUAAGACGUAAGGAGGUAAUACUCCAGUUCUUCCACAGGGUGUUUGCACUGUAGCUGGAGAAGGACUAUCCCAAGGUGGAAGGGACUGGGCAGCACCCUUUGGAUCUGACCAUGGACCCUGGCCAUCGUGCUGCUUCCAGGUCCUGGGCCUGGAAACCACCGGGAAACGGAAUCACCCUGCUGCCCUUACCUCCUUUACUCUCGGGGUUUUCUGAUUCUUCCUUUUCUGUUUUAAAAUACCUGUCUUUCGGCUCUCUGCGCCGGUUCGCUGCAUCGUGAUGGGUCUUUACUGCCCUCACGUGGUCACUUUCUGCCAUGGCUACACGGUCUUAAGGCAGAACUGAAGAGACCGGAGCCAACCCUUAAGUUCAGGGUUUUCCAAGGCCAGCGAGGGAAUUAAAAUCCAAGUCAAAGCCAGCUUGUGGGAUCCAGAGCUCCUUGCUGGGAAGGGGUAUCCUGCUUGGUUUUGGCCCAAGUAGGGCAAGAAUCCAAGUCUCUGGAUUAAUCUUGCUAAAGUGGUCAGUUCCCAACUCAUCCAGGUUGCCCUGAGCGAGGUCUUGGAACUGAAAAUAGCUGUGAGGUUUCCUUUCUCUGCCAGGAAAGCCAAAGGGUAGGAAGAGCUGAGACUUGAACCCACCCUACAACACUCGACCACUGAAACCAGCAGGUAACUAAGCACCUGUCUCGUGAACUGCUAGGCAGACUGGAACGGGUACAAAAUAUGUACUCCUGACCUCAAGAACUCAUAAAGCUUACCAAUGUGAAUAACUCACACGCACAUAUAGUGAACAGAAUCAAGGCCAGGCAUGUGGUGCACACUUGUAACCCCAGCACUAGGGAGACUGAGGCAGGAGACCAGUGAGUUGGAAGCCAGCCUGGGCUACAGAGUGAGUUCAAGACCACCCCGCCAUAUAAUGAAACCCCAUCUCAAAAAGACCAAAAAACACAAAACACAAAAAACCCCACAUACACACACAAAGAAACCCAGAAUUAAUCAAUUAUAAUAAGGACUGAUAAAAGUAGAAAUAAAGUAUUAAGAAUUAAUGAGAAGCACAGGGUUGGUAAAAGCCAUGGGGAUCAGGAAAUUUCAAGAAAAUAGGCUUGCUGGACGUGGUGGCUCACGCCUGUAAUCCCAGCACUCGGAGGCUGAGGCGGGAGAAUUGUUGUGAGUUCCAGACCAGCCUGGGCUACAAAGUGAGCUCAAGGCCAGCCAGAACUGCAUAGCGAGACCCCGUCUCAAAAAAAAAAAAAAAAAAAAAAAAAAGGCUCAAAGCGCAAUGUCUUUAAAAUCAGUAGGACGUGGGGAACAGAGUACAACAAGGAUUUCUAGGCAGUGAAACUAUCCGUAUAUAAUAGUGGAUGCAUGACCUAUAUUUGUCAAAUCCAUGCAGCAUACAAUGCCAAAAGUGAACCCUACUGUAAAGCAUGGACUUUAGGUGAAUGUUGUCCAUGUAAGUUUAUCAGUUACAAACAACAUACCACUCUUAGGGGGUGCUGGUAAUGCAGAAGCAGUGUGUUGUGAGGGCAGGGAUGUAUGAAGAGCUUUGACCUUUCCACUCAGUUUUUCCAUGAAUUUUCCCCAAAAAAUAUUCCCAAAAAAUCACCAUGGAAGAGAUAAAGAACAAUUUGAUUAAUUCCAGUUUUGAAGAAGACACUACCAGUUAGGAAUUUUCUGUUAAUAAGUCUCUAAGUUCAGUCAUCCCUUGGUGUCCAGGAGAAUUGAUUCUAGGACUAUCUGCAGGCACCAUAAUCUGUACAUGCUAUGUUGGUUACUUUUCUUUUAUUGCUGGGACAAACUAUCUGACACACAAAAUUAAGGAAUAAAAGGUUUAUUUAGCUUA